AAUGAGUAACUUUUCCAACAAGCGCAAUCUCGCUUAACGAAGAGAUUUUUUUCUUUCUUCUGUAUUACUCUUGAGAAGCAAGAAUAGCCUGGAGGGCUGAUGAAACCCAAGCUCAGAUUGGAAUGAAUUCCCGUGGUCACGCAAUACGAAAACCGAUCGGCCAGCGAAAAAAGGUCAAGAGAGAGAGAAGCAACAGCUAAACCAGCCACAGUGUUGAGCUUCGGAACACCCGAUGAUGGAUGGUCAAUUUUUCUCGUACCGAAUACCUUUAAAUUUCUUACCAAUUUAUUGUCCGACGGUAAAUCCGAACAAUCUUUAUCCCAUUCUCCUUUACCGACCAGGAUUGAAAGGUUGAAAAAAAAAACAGGAACCACCACCAACGGGGG